CUUCGUGGCGGAGCGCGGCCCACCCAGAGCGCCUUCUAUAUCCUGGGUCAGGCGCCAAGCUCCCCCAGCUUCACGCAGGAAUCUGCAGCCUGGCAGAAUUAAGACCACUCUUUCUCGACUGGCGAGCCUUUCCCAGGCCAGUAGCCCGGAUUAGAGUCGCGACCCAAGACGCGCGCUAAGAG
rfam:Callithrix jacchus chromosome 8, whole genome shotgun sequence